NNNNNNNNNNNNNNNNNNNNNNCCCCGCCGGCGUCAGGGAGGCGCGGGCCGGGCCAGGUGCACACGGCCACGCGGGGACCGGGUCGGCCGCGCACAUUCAGACCCAGGAGCGCCUGACAAGUACGCCCCGACUGAGCCCGGUACAGUCACGGUCGCGCUGAAUGAAUCAGGUACCCAGAGGUCGAUCCACCCACCGCUGGAGGACCCCGAAGAGCUACCCCUUUUCAUGGACCUACCUCUUCAGGGUCACUUCCACCGCAGAAAAGUGGCAGAACCAUGGUCGGAACUCCAGACUCAGGACUCCCAACUCCAGAGCUCACUCCCUAGAGCCGGGCAGCCCAGCCCAUAGUGUGAACUUGCCAAUCAGCAAACGAGGCUCCACGCUGCCCAGAAGGGCUGUGGACUCAGCAUGGCAGAGACGGGGGACUGGGGCACCGGGCUCAGGACGGGACAGAGACCUGCUGCAGCUACUGGAAGAGGACAUGCUUAUUUCAGGGGGUGGGGUGUUGGGGGGAAGCCUGGAAUCUCAAAGGGGUCACUUUGGGUCUAGAGCUGGUAGGAGCCUUCAACAAAAUGGCAGAGUCUGGAGUCAGCCCGGCCUGACUCAGGUCUGAGUCCUUUCUCUACCGUGCACUAGCUCUUUGACCAUGGGCAUGAGACUUUACCUCCUUGAGCCUCAAGUUCCUGAUCUGCAGAAUGGGGUAAUAAUAGGGCUUAUUCCAAAAGAUUUUUGUAAAGAUUUACUGGAGGAGUAAUGUAUACAAUUGUUGAAUCACUAUAGUGUCCACAUGAACCUAGUAUAACACCGUAUAUUAACUAUAUUGGAAUUAAAAUAAAAAACAUAAUAGUAAUAAUAAGAGAUUUCCUGGGAAAAAAUACCAAGUAAAGCAUUUUGCUUGAUGUCUGGCCUAUAUUGCAGGUAUUGUGGUUAGUUCAAGUUAACCUGCACCACCCACACUCAGAGGACUGAUUUGACAGGUCUGAACUUGGGCCUCAGUCUUCCUAGAAUUAGUUAUUUAUGUCAGUCUUGAUUAUGGUUAAGAAUUCCUAGAGGGUUGAGGCGCCCUUAACUGACUCAGGUACCUCAAAAACUCAGUCAUUGUAGUUUGAAGUACACUUAAUUUAAUUUCUCUUUUAAACUAGCCAUUUAUGCCCUACUUUGUUCCUUCCUUUUGCCAAGGUUUUUUUUCUGCCUGGGAGUGGGAGGGUUCCCCGUUCUUGAACCUUCUUUGUGGCUUUUGGCAGGAUUUUCUUUAGAACACUCUUCCUGCAAUAUGUACACCUCACCACCAGGUGGCAGUAGAGUCCCUGGCAGUCGGCGCCAGGACACCGCGACCAUGAUUUCCAUCCUUGGGAGAUAUUUAAAAAUGGAUUUCUAUUUAUUAAAUCAGUUCAAUGAGAUUAACCUACUCACCACCCCCAACGUUAAGCAUGGCAAGCAUCACAGCAGCUAAUGAGACAAAAUACAAAGUGUUUGGUACACUCAAUUAUCUUUUCUCAGCUAAUCCCUAAAAAGCGUAUAAUCUGGUGCUCCCGUUCCUUCAGAGAAGGCUUUUUCUUCUCCUAACACCCAGGUUUGCUUCAGUUGGUCUCACCACCCCACUGCGGCUUCCUUCUGCUCUGGCUUCUUUUCACCUAUUCAGCCAAUACUUAGCAUUCUUCUGCUCUGUGCCAGGCCCCGUGCAGUGUAUGUUCGGUCCUGAACAAGCUCAGGGUCUAGCGGGGGCAGGCUUGAUGCAGACAGAGCAGGAGGUCCCAACUCCAAAUGCUACAGUGUCUGGGUGGGGCACAGAGAUGAGUGCCGCAGGUCUGGGGUGAGAAGGGUAGGCACCUGGGGGGUCUCGGCCAUCUGGAGCCUUGGGACCCAGCUACUGGGGGACACUGGCCACUCAACUCCACCUGAUUCUGUUGUCAAGUGAAAAGAUGGCUUUGUAUUGCCAGAUUAUCCUCUUCUUCAAGAGAAAUUAAUAUACUGAUUUUUUUUUUUAAAUAUAUAAGAUCACUUACUUUCAAUCUAUUCCCAGGCCAGAUUCGGCCCUCGGGUUGUGAGUUUGAGACUGUGAAAGGGAGGCCAGUGGCUGGGCCUGAGGGGGCAGUGAAGAGCUAUGUCCAGGGGACUGUAGGAGCCUGAGGAGGGGAGCCCCAGCUCUGCCCUGAGCAUGCACGCAUUCAUCCAUUCAGCAAGUGUUCAUUGUCUUCCUAUUGUGUGCAGAGUUCUGUGCUGAAUACUGGGGGUUCCUAGGUGCCGUCUGCCCUUCACGGAGCACACAGCCCAGUAGGGGAGACACAUACCCAAUGUCGCAUUCCGCCAGCUGUGGUUUGGUUGUAAAUUGUGUCUCAGGGGCCGGUGUACUGUGCAGUGAGAACCUGGGGAUGGGUCAGGGAAGGCUUCCCGAAGGAAGUGACAUUUGGUCUGAGCUCUGAAGAAUAAAUCGGGGUUUAUCUGAUCCAUUUCCCAGGCCAGCUGCUCCCUCCUUCUGAGUUCUGUUUUUCUCUCUGCAAGUUCCUGCCUUUCGCUGUCCUCACAUUCACCAACUCAGAGUUUGUCCCCUUUCCCCACCCCUAAGCCCUCAAGGUCACAUGGAACAUCUUCAAGGUCAAAGGUCCCCACUCAUGCCUGCCCCUCCUGUCCAUCCUCAGCCUCCCCUGGGUUUGUCCUGACCACUCCUUUUGCACAUAUCUUUCUUUGAACACUAAACGUUCAACAGAAAACACAACCAUACAUUUUCUGGUGUGUCCUCUUUGAAAUGAGAACAAGGUCAUGCCGGUCCCCAGCUGGGGCUCUCUGGGAUCUCCGGGAGAGAGGCCCGCAUCCUGGCUCCACCAUCACAGGCUGUGUGACCUUGGGCGGGAGACCCUUUACAGAUGGUACUUUGUAUUUCGUGGACUGGUUUGUGACCGGGAGGUUUUCCUUGGCACUUUGCUAUUGCUUCCCGCCCAAGUGGAAGACUCGAGCUGUUUCCCCCAAUCCGAUUGCUGAAUGAAUUCAGCGUGGUUUCCGUCAGUGAACCAGUGCACAGCGAAGCUUUGCCUUCAGCUGGGCCGGCGUGAGGCUCCAGGGUGAGAGGAGGGGGAAACGUGAUGUCUUUGCUGGAAACCUCCCGGACGGGGCUCCUUAGAGGUGGACCCCAGUUCAGGGCCAGGUCUUCUGCUUGUCCGCUCUGGGACUGGCGGCCCUUAGCUGCCUGCCCUGACCCUCACCUUCCUCGGUGAGGUCUCGAUGUUAUCAUUGAUGACAUGUGGGAAGUUCGCAUCAGGGAUUCAAGACGCCAUUGUUCUCCCUUUGAAUCGAUAUUUACAAAUGCAAGCACGUGCAUGAAACCCAUGCACUUACCUGAUGCGGAUUAGCUAUUCGUAAUAAUCAGGCUCACAGUCAUUAUAAAUACCGCGCAGACAUGUUUGCGGCUGGGGGCGUUGGUUCUGAGUCCGUCCUUGGGAAAGGUGGUUUGGGACGUCCAGGGGGAUUCAGAUUGUAAACCGGUGUCCCAGGGCCUGCUGAGGGGUGGGGCACAAGCACAGAACGGGCAUGGGGGGAAGCUGCCCCUUCUCCCCACCGUGGGUGCUCCCUGCGGUCCCACUC
ensembl:lincRNA